GCCAGCAUGGCAUAGGGGUGUGAGUGUUGGACUAUGGCUCUGAAGACCAGGGUUUGAUUCCCUGCUUGGCC